rnacentral:rRNA from 1 species
GAGUUUGAUCGUGGCUCAGAUUGAACGCUGGCGGCAUGCCUUACACAUGCAAGUCGUACGGCAGCACGGGAGCUUGCUCCUGGUGGCGAGUGGCGAACGGGUGAGUAAUGCAUCGGAACGUAUCCUGGAGUGGGGGAUAACGUAGCGAAAGUUACGCUAAUACCGCAUAUUCUGUGAGCAGGAAAGCGGGGGACCUUCGGGCCUCGCGCUCUUGGAGCGGCCGAUGUCGGAUUAGCUAGUUGGUGAGGUAAAGGCUCACCAAGGCGACGAUCCGUAGCAGGUCUGAGAGGAUGAUCUGCCACACUGGAACUGAGACACGGUCCAGACUCCUACGGGAGGCAGCAGUGGGGAAUUUUGGACAAUGGGGGCAACCCUGAUCCAGCCAUGCCGCGUGAGUGAAGAAGGCCU